UACGAAGGGGGUCGUAGUCGUGCUCGGAAUCACUGGGCGUAAAGGGUGCGUAGGUGGGUCUUUAAGUCAGGGGUGAAAUCCUGGAGCUCAACUCCAGAACUGCCUUUGAUACUGAAGAUCUUGAGUUCGGGAGAGGUGAGUGGAACUGCGAGUGUAGAGGUGAAAUUCGUAGAUAUUCGCAAGAACACCAGUGGCGAAGGCGGCUCACUGGCCCGGUACUGACGCUGAGGUGCGAAAAGCGUGGGGAGCAAACAGG
rnacentral:rRNA from 1 species